CUGCGAAAGCAUUUGCCAAGAAUGUUUUCAUUAAUCAAGAACGAAAGUUAGAGUUUCGAAGACGAUUAGAUACCGUCCUAGUUCUAACUAUAAACUAUGCCAACUGGGCAUCUGGCGGUAGCACAUUAGGCAUCGGCAGGCACCCCGCGGGAAACCAAAGUUAUAGGGUUCCGGGGGGAGUAUGGUUGCAAAAUCGAAACUUAAAGGAAUUGACGGAGGGGCACACCAGAAGUGGAGCCUGCGGCUCAAUUUGACUCAACGCACGAAAACUUACUCGGUCCGAACACCGUGAGGAUUGACAGGUUGAAAGCUCUUUCUUGAUUUGGUGGGUGGUGGUGCAUGGCCGUUCGUAGUUGGUGGAGUGAUUUGUCUGGUUUAUUCCGAUAACGAACGAGACUCUAGCCUAUUAAUUAGUGUGGCGAGUGACGACUUUAUUGGUCUUGCCGCCUGAACACUUCUUAGAGGGACAAGUACUGUAAAGUGCUGGAAGAUGAGCAAUAACAGGUCUGUGAUGCCCUUAGAUGUUCGAGGCUGCACGCGCGCUACAAUGGAGGCUUCAAAAAGUAGUUAUCCUGGUUUGAAAAGAUCGGGGAAUCAAAAAUAGCCUUCACGAUUGGGAUCGGAGAUUGUAAUUAUUCUUCGUGAAAGAGGAAUUCCUAGUAAACGCGAAUCAUUAUUUCGCGUUGAAUAAGUCCCUGCCCUUUGUACACACCGCCCGUCGCUACUACCGAUCGAAUGGUCUAGUGAGGUUUCCGGAUAGGUUGCAUGGAGCCAAAAGCUCCACUGUAUAUUCUAAAAGC
rnacentral:rRNA from 1 species